rnacentral:lncRNA from 1 species
UCUCUAUCGUUCCUAUUCAAAUCCAGCAAUAAAUUCGCGUGUCCGGUUUUCUAGUAGCGGUUUAGAUUAGACGGAAGUCGAUUCGGGACUGUAAUUUUCCGCUAAGUUUCAAUAACUCUGAUAAGAUUUUUUAAAUCCGCUUGUUAAAAGAGGUGAUCUAUUUACCCCCCCCCCUCUCGAUCACUAGCCACACCGUCUAACAACCUUCAUAGGUAGCACAUAGAGAUUCAAAGAUAGUCUUAGCAGUAGACUUAUCAGUAAUAUUUAUGUACUCAGAAUGAGACAUGACAUCAAC